ACUGGAGAAAAUAGUGGAACAUAAAGAGGCCAUUUACAGCCAUUACUACCACUAGUAUUACAGAGUCAACCUACCAAGAAGUGAAGUCAAGCCACUUUACUGCAUCUGAGAGGAGGAGGACGAGGACGAGAAAUGCACCCAACUAAAGAACCCAAAAUUAUACAUUCCUUAAAAUGGAGUAAAUAUUUUUUAACUGUUCGAGUAAAGAAGAAAGGAGGUGAGUAAGUUUAUUUCUCUAAUUAAAUCAAAAUAAAUACUUUUCAAACGUAAAAAAGUAUAUUUUUUCAGGUCAAAGGAAUUCGUUCCAGUCCGAUGGGAGAAAGUUUGUUUGGUUGGUAGCUUUUUCCAUUUUAUUGGGCUGGGAGACGGAAAAAGUAGAAGAGGAGUAGGAGUCGUUCAAGGAGUAGCUGCGGGCCUGCAGAGACAAGAGAACCGUUUUUAAAAACUUUUUAAACUUUUAUAAACUACAAAGAGAGAAAGGUGCAGGUUGCGACGGGGGAGAAGAAAGAAGGAGUGAGUAAAUUUGAAGGAAUUUGCUGUUAGACAGCAGAGUGUAAAUAUUUGUAAGAAUGGAAAUUCAAGUGGGCAGAGGCAAAAUGGUAGGUAUGCCAUAUUUAUGUAUGGAUGUUUGCAUGUGUGUGUGAAGAUUUGAGGGAAUAUUUUAUUUUCCUAGACAAAAAAUGACCUUAUGGUUGUGUCUGUAUGUCUGAGAAUAAUUGAAGGUCAUUUUGCAGAAUAUAUGAAAUGUAAAAAAAA